UGAUAUUGAUUUGAGGCCAUAUCGUCCAGCCCUAAUGGACACAUGUUAAACCUAAAAGAAACACAGUGUUAAAAGUGAACAGAACAAAUUGUAUUUGCUGUUUCUUUCUUUUGGAUGGAUCAUUAUCAACAUUAUAUUUCUAUAGUCACAUCAAUAUUGUUUCCAUCUGGAGUCAAACUCUCAAACAUCCUUUUUUUCCUUAAGUAAAAAAAUAUGAUAUGAGUAAAACAAGGGCCAUAAUCUUACUGCAGAUAUCUUGUUUGUAUUUCUAAUACACACACCUUGACAUUUGUCAUUAUAACUCUGUCACUGCAUGAAAUCCAGUCCAAGCCCAUCUUAAAUUUAUAAUCCAGAUUUCCCGUAACUGUCUGGAGAGAAACAACCAUGCUGCUCUUCCAAUUGACCCGAUGAAAGUGGACCUUUAGUAUGAUUAGAGCUUUGACUUCAGACGUCUAAUUUGGCGGCUCCUUGAUGUGAUGGCAGAAUAAAGACAGUGAGAGGAGAGAAGAGGAGAGGAGGACUUUAAGUGAAGAGGAGGAAAUUGGAACAUUGUGUGACCACAGAAAGGCCAUAGACAGUUUUAAUAUGCCCCACUAAAAAGAAGAAGGGGAACGCCAGAAAAACAAAAGGGGGUUUCGGCAGCGUCUCUUUCGCAAGCGAGCUUGGCCAGUUGCUCAGGCAGGGUGAGCAGGGUGAGUGGGGUGUGACACACACAUGAAGCUGAAGGAAUGCAAUUUCACACUCACUUUCAGCCUUCUUCUGCUGCAUCGAAAGUCUCUGGAUCCGUUUUUAAACAGGUAGAUCCAAUACUGCAGUUUUUGAACCUAUCUUAGCUUUUAUCCUCUUUGCAGGUGAACUCUCACAUACCUGUGCGACUGAUUUAUUGCUUUAGUAGAAUGAUUGCACACUAAUUAACCCUGACUCAGCCUACAUACACUAUUAUUGCCAUUCUCUGUAUCCCAGUAGAGCUCUACAAUUAAUCAGAUUCUAACUUGGAUUUAGGCCCACUACGAUCAUUAGCAUAUGAUCAUCAGACUGAACGAUUAUGGUGCCCUCUGCUGUACUGCCCUUGCACCCAAGGGACAGAAUAACCAAGGACAGAGAGGCUGUAGAGAUCACGAGCAUUCACACGUGCUGAUGAUCUAACGGCUGCCAGGUAAAAAAGUGCGAAACUGUUCUGAAUCAUCAGUUUUAAAGUUUGUUUUAUGCAAGUUGAGACUUUUUCAGUUAUAAAGAGGUUCCAACUUGCUUAAGUGUGUCAUACAAAUGAAAAAUCAUGAGUAAUCGGUAGGGGUGGGAGAAAAAAUCGAUUCACAUAAGUAUCGUCAUUUUUUGUUUUACAAUUUUUGAAUCGAUUUUUAUGUUCAAAAAUCGAUAGCUUUUUUUUUUUUUUUUCAAAUUUAUGAACAAAUCUUAAAAACUGAUUUACAUGUUAUGUGUAUUUUUUGGGGGAAAUAUGGUUCCUGGAAUAGUCAGUAGACAAUCAUAAUCAUUCAACUGUUUCACUGGUGUUAAAAAUGCAAACUUAAGAUCGAGAAAAUCGACCAUAUCUUCGCAAUGGCAAUUUAAAUUGAAUUGGCAUCCAAAAAGUCAUAGGGGAAUCGAAUCAGGAGGAAAGACAUAACAUUUUACCAGAAUUUUGGGUCUAUGCUCAAAGACAGCAUAUCAAUAAUCUGUUUAGCUGUGUGGCACUUGCAAAUGUUACAACCAAUUAGUCAACUAACUUUCCACAAUCCUAGUUUUUGGUUCUUCUUCUUUUUUUUUUUUUUUUUUUUGUAAGCAAGAUGAGUAAGUGUCUCGGUUGUCAUUUAAGUUCUCAGGUUUGAUCACUAAUAUGGCAUUAUAAAAAGAACAGGCAGGCCCAUGAUAGUUAUAAACUAUGACAGAUCACAAACCACAUCAACCAUCUUAACUUCCCAGAAUACACACAGAGAAAAAAAAAUAAUAAAUUGAAUCAUCUUUAUGUCUCAUUUUUAGCUGUUUCAAUCCCACUAUACUGCCUCAUAGGAAUAAAGCUAAUUACUUAAGCAGAGACUUGGAAGAGAAUUACCCGGUGGCAGGAAUCAGAGACAUCUUAACCACAUUUCUAGGAGUGGGGAUCUACAGAGACACAGACACGCUGCUCAGAUUGACACUUACACACACACACAGACACACUUUCACAGAAGCUGGUGUAUAUGCAUAGAAACACACACUGAAACCAUGACAUUUACGGAAAACCUCAACCUCAAUGAAAAAUGUAUGGUGGUCGCAUGAUAUGAAUAUGGGAAGUUAUAAACACAUAUGUGCACAUACUGGCAGUGGCAUCACAUGCUCCAUGAUGUAGCUUAUUUACCAGAAACUGUAUUAACAAUGAGAACUCUAACUAGAUGAUUAUAUGAUUAUUACUGUCUUGGCUCAAGAAGGAGAGUUUAAACCGACUAAAGGCCAGUGGCGGUCAGAGGGAAAAUGACAUGAAAGACGAAAGGAGGAGUUUCUGGCUAACCUUGAAGGGCUUUAACAUUUUUCUUUUAAUUUCAAGAAUCUUAAUCUUAGAAAAACACUAAAGCAGGGCUGAGUCUCAAACCAGACACACAUGCAGACCAGUAUCUGUCAGUAUUUACUGGUAACGUUUCCACACUAAAACCAAGGUUGGUCUUUUGUUUGAAGGUAAUAACACAGUGCACUCACGGUGACCGAAGUUCAAAAAACAAAACAAAACUUUCACCACACGCACAAUGAACACUUCCAUGUUGUCUAGAGAGCUGCAAACCAGAACACCAAAUCUGCAAACAUCAAAACACACUGUGUGGAUCAUAACCGUGAGGUGAUGUUCCUGAUGUGCUGUGCUUAAGGGAUAAAGCGCAAACUCUGUUUCUCUUUACCUCAUGAUGUCAAAAAUACAUAUUGGUGUUGAUUCAUCCAUUGUUUAGAUUUUAUUCCUGCAGAAAUGAAAGAGGAUUGAUGUCAGACCAUCAGUGACCAUUUGAACCUGCAUCCACACGCAGAGCCACUUUCCAGAUGUUCAUUGAUAAACUAUGGACCCGAUUUGGCCAAUCCUCUCACGCUGGACCACAAUACUCAGCCAUCUGAAUGGGAGCAUGACAGAGUGGCCUUCUCCCCAAACCUCACUGCUGCUUUGAACCUCUCGAAGGUUUAGAGAGACUUAGGAGCUCAGCUCAUAAUUUGGUUACUGGUUAGCCACUAGCAACCACACUCAGCUCUCUGAUGUUGCCUUCAGAGGCUCAGUGCAGCUGGCUGAUGGUCGAGGCCUGGCUGAAUAAAGCUCUUUGUAGUGUGGCAGGUUGCAAAAAGCAGGGAAUGCCCCUUCACUUGAUUCAAGUUUAUUUCUGUAGGCGGAUGUAAACAAACAAUGAUUUAUAUGCUGGCAUAUUACCUGCACGUUAACAAUGCCGUUUUUGAAAGGAGUUUAUUCAUCUAACAACUUCAGAGCAGCUGUUGCUCAUAGAUAUGGCAAGAAGAUGUAAAGACUAUUUCACAACCCCAUGAACGUCCAUCAAUCCUUCCCCACCCAUAGGAGAUUGCACAGGUAACUGGUUUGAAGUUCAUCAGGUCUUGUUCAGCUUACAUGCACUCUCUUAGUACCAAAUUUAGUCACUGUGUUGCACAAGGUUUAGUGCUUUGACCAGUUAUAUUAAUAUUAUGUAGGCCUUCUUUUGGCAUUAUCAGCAAGAACUCUCCAUGAAUGCUCAUUGUUAUGCAGAUGAUCCUCAGAAUUGUCUGAAUCUUAACAUGUUUAGCAGCUAAAGUAUCUCAAAGUAUGUCCUGAAUAUGAACACCCAGAUUACAGGGAUUUUGUAGUGAUUGAAGUCAGACUGUUGUUUUGCCCUUAGCAUGUGUAGUGUUCACACAAACCUGCCUCAGAGGGUUUUAUUCUAGCUCCCUGCACACCAGUAAGGAAUCUUGAGAUCUAUUUGACGAGGAUGUUUUUCCAUCUCCCAAAUAUAAAUUUCAAAGCCAACUUCUUGUGACCAAGACUCAUAUGGGACAUUUAGGUAUUAAAAGUGUGCAAUUUCUAGCUAGUUUUACUCAGUCUCACAAAAUCUUUUUACACUUGUUCUGUAAGAAAGCUGUUCAAUGUAGAUGUAGACCAUGAUUAACCCAACAUCAGAGCUUUCACUGUCUUAUAGAAAGAGGAAAAGGGUUUUGUUUCACUGGACCAUCACAGGGGCUAGUUAAAGGGCGCCAAAUAAGAAAAACCGUCCGGCUAGUGUUGUGUUGUUCAUGAACUUCAACUUCUGAGUGAACAACGUAAAUGGAAUCAGUCCAAGACCUGAUUCGUUCCUUUCUCAGUUUAGUUGAGCUCAGCUGCGAGCCUGGCGUGCCGGUCGGGAUUGGAACUGCCGCCUUUGACUCUUUGGCGAACCAUACACAGCCAGCUAGCCAGCAAGCGGGUGGGCAGAGUCUCAUGAUUUGCUUACAGCAAAUGAAUGAUGUGUAUCAGUCAGACUGUGAACAUGCAUCAUUCAGAUUGUGAACGAAACAAAUGACUGCCGGACGACUUGAGGCAGGCAGAAGAGGGAGGGGAGUGGCAUUAUUCACAAACUGCUGAGCACUGGUUCGUUCACUGUGAGGAUGAACGUAGGCUACGAUAAAACAGUGCAUUAUGUGCCGUUACAUUAAUACAGACCUAUAAACUGUCCUGCAAGAGGGAUUUCAUUUUGGCCAAUUUAAAGCAGUACACUAUUUGAUGUCUCUUAAAGUAUCAUAAUCCCUGCUAUAGCUGCAAUGUUUAUUUAUUUUCAAACUCUCCACUUUUCUGUAAUAUAAAAGAACAAUGACUCGCUCUUGUUUAGCGAGCGUGCUGCUCGCUGCUGUGCUGUUUCACUCUCGUUGUGAUGCGAAUGUCGGCGGCACACAGAGAGGUGACUUUUCAGGGCAGGGGAGUGAUUCUCCCUUCACAACUUGGCGAAUGAACGACAUAUGUCACCCAGUGAACAACGCUGUGACUUUAGCAGCUGGGGAGGGGAGGGGAGGGGCUCGUUCAAUGAACGAGCUCACGAUCAGCACCACUGUGUCACUCACUCAUGCACUGCAUCCAGCAGUACGAAGCAGUGAUUUAUUUGGUGAACAAAUCUUUUGAAUGAAUCAUUUUAAUGAGUGGAUUCUAAAGAUUCUUCCCAUCACUACAUCAGGCUGAAAUGUCUUUUCUGUGUUUCUGUGGCGUCUUUUCAGCUGUCCAGUAGAAGCUGAAGUUCACACUUUAUAUUUGUUGUAAUUAUUGAUGUAAUUUUUGAUGUAGUGAUAUACUGGGCAUCUGUCCAGGGUAUUUCCCUGCCUUUUACAAAACCUUUCCUGAAGGGUUCCAGCCUUUUCUGCCUCAUAGCAGGUUUAUGUAGCUUGGACUAAAAUGGAUUUAUCAAUCUGACCAUGUGAAGAAAGUUUGAACUUUUCUUUGACAAACAGAAUAUUUUACAUUACACACCAAACAUUUUCCAUAUGGAUUCCUGGAAGUCACCUGAGUGCCAAGAAAGCUUUCAUAUUGUUACUCCCCCAAAACCACAAGUUGUCAUUUUUACAUUUCUGUUUUCAUAAGGAUUAAAAAAAAAAAGAUUCAUUGUGUAACUCAGUGAGUUUUGAGGUAUACGGGUUGGAGUGUGUCAGUAUCUGUUUGAUUAAUAAGGGCCAGCAGUAUCUAUUUAACCUUUUAACCUUUUUUCUAAAAACGCCUUGAGUCCCCAUGUCUUGUAUCUUCCAACUAGAAAAACACAGGUGUCAAAGCCAUCUCUGAAAAUGAGGCAAAUUUGCAUUUUGACAGCUUCUUACAAUUUCUUUAAAUGGGAUUGUUGUACCUAAAUGAAAUGAACAUGUUUAAUAAAAUCAAAAUAAGUAAGAAAAACACCAGAAAAUUCAACAAAGUGGUGCUUGGCAUAGUUGGUCUGACUACCAGUCUGAUGUUGUUGGCUUUACAGCAUCUGGGAAAAACACCAGGAACAGGGAUCAGUUAACAUCACAGUGUGAAAAUGCUCAGCCACAGAGAAACCCAUGAUUCACACAAUAAAUAUGUGGCGUCUCAGUCUAGUCAUACACCGAGGAUAUCCUGCUCGAUUUGGUUCAGGGACAGAACAGAUAGACACUUUUCACGUCAGUGUGUCUCUGACAGUGAAUCAUGCUACUUGGUUUGCCUGUAAUUUCACACCCUGGAAGAACCGCACCCUAAC